rnacentral:pre_miRNA from 12 species
CUGUCCAGUCACGUAGUCAAAUAUCAGCUGGUAAUUCUGGGAUACUUAUUAUGCAGCCCAGGAUUCUUGCUGGUAUCCGGUUACGAACUGGC